AUGGCCCUCUUUGAGGAAUUCUAUGUGGGCACUAUUGACUUGCGUCGCCUAAACUACGGGAUCAUCACCCUGAUCCCCAAGGCCCCCGGAGUAUCGGAUAUUCGGCAAUUCCGUCCGAUCACGGUGAUUAAUGUGAUCUUCCGCAUUUUGGCAAAGGGGUACGCCAAUAGGGUGACCUCUUUGGCCAACCUCAUUACACAUCCGGAUCAGUCGGCCUUCAUCCAAGGGCGGUUUAUCCUUGACGGGGUCCUCGUCUUUCACGAGGUUCUUCACGAGACUCGCGCCAAAAACCUCAAGGCCGUCUUCCUGAAAAUCGACUUCCAUAAGGCCUACGACACGGUCAGUUGGCCCUUCCUUCGGGAGGUGUUGCUCCGGAAGGGAUUUGACGACCGCUGGGUCACCAGGAUCAUGCAAAUGGUCGCCUCCGGACAAACUGCGGUCAACAUCAACGGUGAGAUAGGCCCACACUCUGUGGGGUUAGACAGGGCGACCCCUUCUCUCCGUUCCUCUUCAACAUGGUAG
rnacentral:rRNA from 1 species